GGGUCUACCCAUUGGUCAGGCUUAAUUGUCUGCACUGGUGAGAUGGAUCUCUACCUUCUGAGGAACUUUCAUGCCAUUUAUUUAGUGUGAUGGGAAAUCAGGACUGUUACUUUGAAGAAAUUAGAGUGCUCAAAGCAAGCCUACGCUCUGUAUACAUUAGCAUGGGAUAGCAUCAUAGGAUUUCGGUCCUAUUACGUUGGCCUUCGGGAUCGGAGUA
rnacentral:rRNA from 1 species